rnacentral:rRNA from 1 species
UACGUAGGGGGCAAGCGUUGUCCGGAUUCAUUGGGCGUAAAGAGCGUGUAGGCGGCCAGGUAGGUCGGUUGUGAAAACUGGAGGCUCAACCUUCAGAGGUCGACCGAAACCAUCUGGCUAGAGUCCGGAAAGAGGAGAGUGGAAUUCCCGUGGUGAUGAGCGGUGAAAUGACGCAGAUAUCAGGAAGAACACCCGUGGCGAAGGCGGCUCUCUGGGACGGUACUGACGCUGAGACGCGAAAGCGUGGGGAGCGAACAGG